rnacentral:rRNA from 1 species
UGGGGAAUAUUGGACAAUGGGCGCAAGCCUGAUCCAGCCAUGCCGCGUGGGUGAUGAAGGCCUUAGGGUUGUAAAGCCCUUUCGGCGGGGAAGAUAAUGACGGUACCCGCAGAAGAAGCCCCGGCUAACUUCGUGCCAGCAGCCGCGGUAAUACGAAGGGGGUUAGCGUUGCUCGGAAUCACUGGGCGUAAAGCGCGCGUAGGCGGGUCGCUAAGUCAGGGGUGAAAUCCUGGAGCUCAACUCCAGAACUGCCUUUGAUACUGGCGACCUUGAGUGCGGGAGAGGUGAGUGGAAUUGCGAGUGUAGAGGUGAAAUUCGUAGAUAUUCGCAAGAACACCAGUGGCGAAGGCGGCUCACUGGCCCGGAACUGACGCUGAGGUGCGAAAGCGUGGGGAGCAAACAGGAUUAGAUACCCCCGUAGUCC